AAACCCUGCAACUUGAUGGAAUUGCACUUGACUGGGUAACUCUUUGGAUAGCAUUGCCUAGAAGAAAGUGGCAGAAUAGCAUAAGAUGAUACAUUCUGAUGAUUACUAGUCUCUAUGUGUGAUCCUUGCCACUGUUGUGGAUAUGGUUUUGUUGGUCACUCCUAAUCUCUCUGGAUCCUGCUGUUUUCCCACAUGCCAAUGAAGACAAUGUCUACCUGAUUUCUACUGACUUCAUCUGAUGCCCUCGGUUCUUGUACUGGAAAAUAAAAGGAAGAGAUGUUUUCACUGGAACUCUACAUGGGUCCCUUCAGGUGACACUGGUUUUGUGAUUGCUGUA